GGAUGCGAUCAUACCAGCACUAAUGCACCGGAUCCCAUCAGAACUCCGAAGUUAAGCGUAACGGCAAACGCGCAAGUGAUUUUGUCUCGGUUUGCGCGAGAGUAGUACUAGGAUGGGUGACCCCCUGGGAAGUCCUCGUGUUGCAUCCC
rnacentral:rRNA from 1 species